rnacentral:lncRNA from 1 species
GGUAAAGACAAAGUCCAGCCUGCAAACAUUGCAGAUGCUACUGCUCAGAGAAAGCAGCAAAUAUUACUCCAGCAAGCAUUGCCGCCUGUUGCGCCUAACAAUCUACUGGUAAAGUCUCUUACAGCUUAUUAGCACCUUAAUCUCUUGGCUUUCUCUAUUUUGGAACUUUUUAUGAAGAUCAGAGGAGUGCCUAAUUGCUGAGUCUUUUAUGAAUUUACAGCAUGGGCCUACUUUCAUCUUCCCUAUAAAUCAACAACAGGCAGCUGCAGCUGCUGCUGUGCGACCCGGUCCCACAAAGUCACCUAGCACAACGGCCACUGCAGCCUUGCCUAACACAUCCAAUCCUGCUGCUGGCACUGCUGCUUCAGCGGCAGCUGGUGGAGCUGCUACUGCAAUUAGUUUCAACUACCCAAAUAUGUCUCCUAAUGAAGCUCAGUACUUGGCGAUCUUGCAGAAUAAUGCGUAUGCUUUCCCAAUACCUGCUGUAGGAGCACCUCCAAAUUAUAGAGGAGCUCAUCCGCAGCCUAUGCCAUUGUUCAAUGGGUCUUUCUAUUCUUCCCAGAUGAUUCAUCCAUCCCAGGUUCAGCAACAGCAGCAGCCGCCUACAUCGCAGUCGCAACAAAUGCAACAAGGUCAACAAAACACAAGCAUGUCUAGUGGAUCCUCUUCAUCCCAGAAGCAUUUGCAGAGCCAGCAGCAGAGGUCCCAAGGCAAUGCUGUUACUGGUGGCAAUUUGCAUAAUUUUCCUGGGUCAAAGAAUCAUCCAUCUCAGUCCCCAGCACAGUCACAAAAUCAGCAUAUUCCUCAACAGACACGUCAUAUUGAAAAUGAGGUGGGUAGUGAAGAUAGCCCAUCAACUACAGAGAGGAAAAGGUCUCAUGGGCCGAUGAAUGUGUACAAUCAGAAUUUUGCUAUGCCCAUGCAUCCCUCAAACUUUGGUUUGAUGACUCCUCCAGCUACUUUUGGUAUUGCGUCUUCUGCCGGUGGUGGCAGUAAUCAUCAAACUGAGAAGAAGUCGCAGCAACAACAAGGUUUAAAAACGAAUCUAGAAUCAGUGCCGCCUCAACCUUUUGCUAUGUCAUUUGCUUCCUUAAAUGGAGCCACUGCUGGUCCUGGCAUUGACAUGUCCAUGGCACAGAAUCAUGCUAUUUUUCAGAGUCUCCCUGAAGCUACGAGGCAAAAUUUACAGAUGGCUGCAGCUGCUGCUCAGGCUGUGCAGCAGAAGAAAAAUUUCAGAAUAUCCGAGGAUGGUAAAUCUGGAUCCAGCGACCAGUCUGGGGCUGAUGCUGAAAGGAAAGGUUUAGCUAUGAAGCAGCCUUCAGUAAAUGCUGGUCAGUCUAUUGCAUUUUCAAGGUCUGAGAUGUCCGAUGCCUCCGGUUCUAAUAUUGCUGCCAACAGUGUCAUUGAUAGCUCAUCAAGGUCCUUAAAUCUUCCCUCUGGUGCUUCAUGGACUGCUCGAGCUGCAAUGCCAAAUGCUAUGGGAGCUGUAAAUGUCCCUAAUGCACAGUUACAAGCUCAAAUUCAGCAUCAGCAGCAGCAGAUGAUUCAGCUUCAUAAGCAACAGCAACAGCAACAGCAGAUGGCUGCGGCUGCUGCUGCUCGGAGUAAGACACCAGCUUCUAGUAAUGGGAAUGCCUACUCUGAUCACUUGACAUCGUCGGCUUCUGCCUCUUCAAAGUUUCCAAAUGCAAUGUCUGCUUUUCCUCAAAACCUUGUACAGACUGGUAACAACAGCAGUCAAGCUCAGUCGCCUCAGUGGAAAAAUUCUACCAGAACAUCUACGUCCCAAGCUCCAUCAUCUUUGUCAUCCACUUCUUCUCUGAAAAACCUUUCUCAGCAGCAGGUUAGAUCCCAGCAAAGCCACACACAAAUAUCUUUUGGCACAAAUCAGAAAUCAGCUGCUCCUCCACAGGGACAACAGCCUCCUAAUAAUAACCAGUCUCCCUCUUCGCCCAUGAUGGUUGGCUCUCCUACAACUUCUUCAAUCUCAAAAGGUGCCUGUGGAAGCCCAAGGCAUACAAAUUCUGCUUCUGCAAGCAAUAAAACCGGCGGCCAAAGCUCAUCAUUGUCAACACAGCAGGGCAAAUCCUCGCCUUCACUUCCCAACCAAAAGUCAUCUCCUGCUGGUGGAAGGAAUGUGCCGUCAAUUCUUGGAAACCCUCAUACUGCUUCAACUUCAGGCAGUGGAACUAAGUCUCAAAUGCAACAACAACAACAGCAACUACAGCAACAACAGCAGCAUUUACAGAAGAGUAUGCAGCAAGCACAACUGUUCUUCUCAAGUCCAUAUAUGCAAGCUCAACCCCCGCAUUCUACUGGUACAAAUUCUACAGGUCAAGCUACUGGGGGAUAUUAUCUUCAAAGAAGGCGUUCAGAACAGCCGGCUCAACAACCGACUGGUUCAUCAACGGCAUCAUCGUCAAGUGGAAUGUUGACUUUGUGUCCUGUUACUCUAGGUGGUGGCACCACCUCUGAUCCUGCAAAAGCGAUUGCAGCAGCAGCAGCUGCUAGUAAUAUGAAAGGUGGAGUCUUGCCCUCGCAGGGCAUCCUUCAUGCGGCCCAAUAUACAACACCAACAUCUGGAAGUCAACAUCAGCUUUUGCCUGCUGGUUUCUCGUAUGUUCACCCUGUUCCUGCAGCAGUUCAAGUGAAGCCAGCUG